rnacentral:rRNA from 1 species
GAUGAACGCUGGCGGCGUGCCUAACACAUGCAAGUCGAGCGAUUUACUUCGGUAAAGAGCGGCGGACGGGUGAGUAACGCGUGGGUAACCUGCCCUGUACACACGGAUAACAUACCGAAAGGUAUGCUAAUACGAGAUAAUAUGCUUUUAUCGCAUGGUAGAAGUAUCAAAGCUUUUGCGGUACAGGAUGGACCCGCGUCUGAUUAGCUAGUUGGUAAGGUAACGGCUUACCAAGGCGACGAUCAGUAGCCGACCUGAGAGGGUGAUCGGCCACAUUGGAACUGAGACACGGUCCAAACUCCUACGGGAGGCAGCAGUGGGGAAUAUUGCACAAUGGGCGAAAGCCUGAUGCAGCAACGCCGCGUGAGCGAUGAGGGCCUUCGGGUCGUAAAGCUCUGUCCUCAAGGAAGAUAAUGACGGUACUUGAGGAGGAAGCCACGGCUAACUACGUGCCAGCAGCCGCGGUAAGAC